rnacentral:lncRNA from 1 species
CCAGUGUGAUGGUAUUUGGAGGCGGGGCCUUUGGGAGGUAGUUAGGUCAUGAGGGCGGAGCCCUCAUGAAUGGGAUGAGUGCCCUUAUAAGAAAAGCCCAGGGAGCUAGCUCACUCUCUUUCACCAUGUGAGGAUGCUGUGAGAAGUUUGCCGUCUGCACCCUGGGAGAGGGCUCUCCCCAGAACUGACCAUGCUGGCACCCUGAUCGUGAACUUCCAGCCUCCAGAACUGUGAGAUAUAAAUUCCUGUUGUUUAUAAGCUACCUAGUCUAUGUACUUGGUUAAAGCAGCCCAAGCCGACUCAGGAAACACUAUCUAGCAGAAGGAGUUAGGAAAGUGGUUUCCCUGGUUUUUACAUCUGUGACAAAAUGGAGGCGUGGAUUAGGCUUUCGAUACGGAUCAGGUUAUCAGCUUACCUCACCAACCUUGCAAUUGAAGUCCUGGGACCUGGAAAAUUGGGCAAAGGAAGAGAUCCCCAAGCUUAGAGCAGAGACAUGGAGGAGACCCUGAAGCAACAGAUGAGAGCAGCAGGCCAGGGUGGCAGAAGCGCUGUGGCAUUAGGAGAGAGAGACUGCACUGUGGUCCCACGUGGCGUGGGGGCCCUUCAUAGAGAUUGCUGAGCCUCCUUCUACGUUGCAGCCACGUGCUGUACAGAUUCAGGGACCCAGACCACCCCAGGCGACCAGUGAAGAGGCUGACUGAGGACCUCCUAGCCUAACCUUUGCCUGUGAAGACCCGUGGAUGGAGCCUAGCCGCAGUCUACACAGCAGGGAAGGUUUGCUAGGUAGUCAAAACUCAGAGUUUUCAACUAAGAGAGUUGUGUGUGUGUGUGGCAACAGG